rnacentral:rRNA from 1 species
AACGUAGGAGGCAAGCGUUAUCCGGAAUUACUGGGCGUAAAGGGCGCGUAGGCGGCGUGACAAGUCACUUGUGAAAUCUCCGGGCUUAACUCGGAACGGUCAAGUGAUACUGUCGUGCUAGAGUACAGAAGGGGCAACUGGAAUUCUCGGUGUAGCGGUGAAAUGCGUAGAUAUCGAGAGGAACACCUGCGGCGAAGGCGGGUUGCUGGGCUGAUACUGACGCUGAGGCGCGAAAGCUAGGGGAGCGAACGGG